UGAUUUUUGGUGCUUGAAUUUUAUUGGUUUAUAAAUCUUUUUGAGGAAAGGUGUUUAGGAAUUCAAAAUUUUUGAGAAAGGAGAUGAUUGAGAAUCAUUAUUUUGAGGAGAGAAUUUUUUUUUUUUCAAAAUUGUUUAAACGGUGUUUAACUUUACAAUCAUAUUAAGUUAAAUUCAUAUUAAUUAUCGUUUUUACUCCACUUUUUAUUAUUUUGACGAUAAUUUAAUAUAUGAUUUCUUAAUGCAUAUAUUCAUCAAAACUUUGAAAUCAAAUUUGAUUUUUUGGUGAUUAAUUCAUCUCGGUUGUGAGUGUUGGAUAUGAUGAAUGGAUAUUCUCUAAUUGAUUAAAAUUCGUCAAAAUUAUUUUCAACUGUGAGAUUGUCUAAUUUAGGGGGAGUUUGAAAUUGCUUAAAAAUAAAAAAAAGGAGAAAAAGAUACUCCUAUGUUUAAAAAGAUGUGGAAAGAGUUACAUCCUAAAAGGAGUGUGAAAACUACCACCACAUGUAGGAAAGAGCUACCACCCCGGUCGUCCGGCAAGUGUGUGAAGCUACCACAUGAAGAAUUAAAUUGAUUAACCGAAAAAGGUUGAAAAAGAAUAAAUAAAUAUUUUAAAAUUUUCGGAGUAAUAAGGUGCUAGUUUGAAAAAGAUGCUCAAAGAGCCACCCCCGGUAUCAUAUUAGUU
rnacentral:lncRNA from 1 species